ensembl:misc_RNA Metazoa_SRP Metazoan signal recognition particle RNA
GCUGGGCAUGAUGGCUCAUGCCUGUAAUCCAAGCACUUUGGGAGGCUGAGGCGGGUGGAUCACCUGAGGUCAGGAGUUCAAGACCGGCCUGACCAACAUGGUGAAACCCCAUCUCUA